CAACAAAGCUUUGAUCCUGCCUUCUUUGAUCCUUAAAAUCUGUGGAGCUCAAAUAGACAACAAAGCUUUGUGGAACUGGUUAAGUUUUAGCAUAAAAUCUCUUUGCCUUUAUCAUAUUGUGCUUCCUCCUAAUAAAUGUUAUUUAUUUAGCAUGAUCAUGCACUUAUUAUUUUUAUUUUUUUAUUAUAAGAUGAAAACAUAUUUAUUUUAUGUCACCACAGCGAAUGUACCUAUGGGUUUUAUGCCAUGAGCAUACUCACAUGGGGCUUACUAUUUUUAACAUUUUUAUUUUCUUUUUGAGAUGAUAUGAACCUGGUUAACUAAGCAAACUAUUUUAAAUAGUUGAAAGGAAAAAGGAUAACUACCAAGUUUACCUCUUGGCAAGGCGUUCGGUGUUUUUAAGUCCUCCGAACAGAACUCUCCGUUUUCUCAGUCGUCCUGGGAUUCGUAUAACUAUCUACUUUCUCCACACCUGACUUUGUGCUACGGUCUCCUCAGGACAGUUCUGUUCAAGCUGUAUGUCUUCAGACCUUACCACAUUUCCUUCAUAGUCUGCCCAACCGUCCUUGAUGAUUUGCCUCCUCUAGUUUCAGUUACGUCGCCUUCUUCAGAGGGAAGUGCAUGUGGACUUCUCCGGUUCCGAUAUAGACGAUGGCUUUGAUAGUGUUGAGGAACAGUGUUCCAAAUAUGAUGGGUCGAUCAUACUCGUCUUCUCCCAUGUCAAUCACCUGAAAAUCAUCUGGAGCUGAAUGUAUGUUGGUUGUAGAGGCAUGGUUCCAUGCAGGAGCUGAUAAGUGAUUGUGGUCAUUAUGUUGUCGUCAGAUCCGGUGUCGUAGAGUGUCUUCUGAAAAGAGUAUCCAUUGAUUGUGCACUUGAUUCUUGGAACACCAGGGUCGUCCUUCUUGAUCAGGAAAGGCGACUUGAGUCGACGAUCUUGACCUCCUCCGACAGGGAUACAAUGUUUUAAGUCUUCUGGACAAGACUUCUCACCGUCUUCAUCCUUUAGGUGCAUCAUUUGAUUAGGUGUGGACCUUGACGUCUGCACCUCUUGAUACGUAGUCACCCAUGUUCUUUGGUUGCUCAGCAGUUCCAAGUGCGGUGUUGGCAAUAUCCUGCUCAGUGUGUUUGUGCUCGUAGAUCCAGGUCCUUCACUUGGUGGAGUCUGGGAGUUGUAAAUAAGGAAAUGAUCCGCAAGCGCACGGAUAUCGGCGCCAGAAAUGCUUGUUGAUAUUUGGUAACGCAAUAAGGAAAUGAUCCGCAAGCGCACGGAUAUCGGUGAGCAUUUAUAUUUUUACCACUGGGAAAAAGCGUGCAUCUAACUAACCAAAUCUAUUGCUACUACCCUUUAGGCUACAAAGAAUGUUACUCGAUGUGAGUGAUGUAUAGAGAAGACUGCAACCGUAGUCUCGUUCUAACCUUGGUAAGGAUGAUCUACUGUUCUAUUGGGGAAGCUUACGGAAUCUAGACACCACAAAGGAUGUUCGACCCGCACCUAUAAACCCUACCCGUCCUCCUAACAAGAUAUGGUCUGCAAAGGUAACUCGGAAAUGUCACGUUCCUCGCUAC
rnacentral:lncRNA from 1 species